rnacentral:tRNA from 1 species
GUUUCCGUAGUGUAGUGGUUAUCGCGUUCGCCUCACACGCGAAAGGUCCCCAGUUUGAAACUGGGCGGAAACA